CUUGGAACGGGAACAGAGGGUAAGCGGUGGGAUGGAGGGAGCCAAAGAAAACUUGACCUGAGCUGUAACCAGUCUGUAGUGGUUCUUGGUACGAAGGUCAGGAACAAGGCAUGGCUUCAGACAUAAAAGCUCUCAACCUCACCCGUGUGCCUAGGACGGGAUCCCUCAGUAGAGGAGGGGACCUCUGAUGGUGAAGACAAAAGGUUUUUAGCAGUCCUCAUUACCCAUCGUCCCUGGACUCUCCUUUGUCUGAUCUGUGUUGUGGAGUCAGAAUCUAGUUCACAGCUAUUUACAAAUCUUAGCCUGUCCCUCCGAUGAUGGUAGUGCUCUCGGAAUUAGAACUUGUGAAUGUAAUUUUCUAGGACUGGUGAAAAACUUUACAAAUCCCUAGUAUUACAUACAUGCACUCUGUGUGUGUGUGUGUGUGAGUGUGAGUGUGUAUGUGAGGGGUGUGUAUAAGUAUGCACAUAUGUUUGCAUGCAUUCAGAGAUCUUUGACUUUCUAAGCCAGACAAGCACAAAUCACACAGGAAUUGAAGUAAGGCAGUGUUCUCCCAGCUUAUGGUUCCUAUAAUUUCUCACUGUUGCUCAGACCAUCUUAUUUUCCGUAAGUAUCUUAUUUUCCGCACACUAAUCUCCUAGCAUGAAGGGGAGGCCAUGCAAGUCCAGCCUGCUUGGCAUAGCAGGACCUGGGACAACACAUAAUGAGCACAGGCUCUUACUAGAGCACCCAGGGGAGCAUGGGAGCGACAAGGGAGUGCAAGCAGGCCCUCCUCUGCCCGCCCACAAGCCUGGUCAGGAGAGCUGCUGCCUCUGCAGAAGAAGGAAGGUCACUCUGGAGGCUCCUCUUCGGCACCCACUGUUUAUUGCCUGGAGGUGUAAUUUGGGCUCUGAAGAUGUUUGGACUGAGCAGGAGGCAGGCAAGCUAAGUUCAGAUCCACACUGCUAAGCUGUGGGAACAUCUUGGGCAACUGAGGUAAGCCAAGGGCAUCACACCAGGGCGAUGUAGGGGCUGGCGAGGCUGGGAGGGGUGGGAGCUGAUGGGAAAGAAAAGCCACCAAAGGGAAGCUAAAGAGGUGAUUGUCAGCUUUAAAAACAGUGCUGAAGGAGAGGCCUGCAGAGAACAGCUCCCGGGAAUGCAGCCGGGAGUGUCAGCAGAGACUGGUGGCUUCCCAGCAGCCCAAAGCCCCUGGCAGGAAGACUAAUGGGGCAUGUGGCUCAGGUGUGCACGGCAAGCAUGUGGUAGCAGAAAGCUAUGCUGGUAGCAUGUCAGAGGACGCAAUCUGCUGCUCUGCACUCAUGAAGUAAGAGGGUGCACUGGAGUUCCAGAAGCCCCAUGGCAAGAGGGACUUUAGUACCAGCCACCAAAGUAGUGACUAAAACUGUCCUGGGUUCACUGCCCUUCUGGUUAUAACUGCUGUGCCAACGCCAACGGUGCUUGCAAUGCACAGAGGCCCUUCUGACUUGUAUUGCACAUCAAGAGACAGUCAAUUUCAUAAAAAUUUCCAUAUGGGAACUGGGGAGAUGGCUCUCAGGGUAAGACUGUCUGUUGCACAAACUUGGCAGCCUGUGCUCAGACCCUCAGCACCCAUGUAGAGCCAGGCAUGACCCUGAAUACCUGUAGCCCCAGCUCUGGCUGGUAGAAACAGGGGAUUCACUAGGGCUUGGUGGCCAUGCAGUCUAGCCAAAAAAUGGCAAGCUCCAGGUUUAAUGGGAGGCCCCUGUCUCAACAGGAUAAGGCCAAGGGUGAGAGUGGGACACCAGAUAUCCUCCUUUAAUCUUCACAUAGGGAACAGGGGCAUGUGCACUCCCACAGACAUGUGCACACAUCCACACCCAGCACACAUGUGCACACAUCCACACCCAGCACACAUGUGCACACAUCCACACCCAGCACACAUGUGCACACAUCCACACCCAGCACACAUGUGCACACAUCCACACCCAGCACACAUGUGCACACAUCCACACCCAGCACACAUGUGCACACAUCCACACCCAGCACACAUGUGCACACAUCCACACCCAGCACACAUGUGCACACAUCCACACCCAGCACACACAGACAUUCAGUCUGGUGCUUUUGUAGCAGUGAUGGGCAGUAGGAAGGUCUCAUGACUAUUGCUGGCUCAUAGUUACUAUAGAACAGAAUCAAAGUUUAGUUGAAAGGAGCGUGCAUGGGACUGGGCUGAGGCAAACUGGAAUAGAAACACAGCUCUCAAUGGCGAUGCUAAUGGAGCACACUUGGGCUCAGUUGCAGAGCUCAGUGUCUUCAGGCUCCCCUAGUAGAAUGCAGAGGUCACAUGGUGAGGGUCCCUGGCUCUCACUGGCCCGAAGGCCAACUGUUCUGGAGAGGCGGUCCACUUUGAUUUGGAGGACAACUCACCUCUAUGCUGUGCCUUCUGGUUGUUUAGCUGUGCCUCAGCCAUCCAUCUGUAAUCCCGAGACCCAAGUGCCCAGGGCUGACGUGCAAGAUACCCAGUCUGAUGCAGCCAUCCUCCCUGUCCUCUACACAGACCAGCCGUUGCCAGGCUUAGGCGGAAGUAGGAAUAGCCGAAUACUGGAUGCUAGGGAUUUAAGGAAGAGAGCAGCUAGGGGCGAAGUACCCAUGAAAUAAAAAUAAGAUUGCCCAAGGAGCUGAUUAAGGAGAGAACGAGGAUGGAGAAUCCAUUUGACAGCAAACACUGCCAGUGAGGUGAAUCCCUGAAGCAGAGAGGACAGCUCUAUCUCCAGAGCAGGAAGUGACUGUAGGUUGGCUGCACAGUUGUGUAGAACCAUAGAAUAGCUCGUCAUUAGCCACGGAGAAGGGUUUCUGUUCGGAAAGGGAGGAAGGGGCUCUUGUUUCCUCUUGGUAGCUCCAAGACCUACUUGUACUUUCCAAAUUACCGUCACCUACCCCCACCAUGGAGAAUGUGGGAUGCCUUUGCCAGGACCCCAGUGCUAUUAGAGAAUAGCUUCACCAUGUCUCUCUCAGGGGAAAUAUUCUAGCCUUACAGUCCCCAUCUCUGGCCAGUCAUCUUCGUUGGGGAGGUACCCUAGCUUAAGGUUGAUGGAAUGUUUUUGUGGGGGUUACAAUUAGAUGUGGAGAGGCUGCAGUUGCCAAGGCAAGGUAUAUCUGGCUAGAUGAAGCCUGAGGAUAAUGGUGUUUCUGCCGACAGGGGAAGGGAGAGCUGCCAUAGGGACCUGACCCAAGCUUUCUGGACCAGGAAACUGCAUUCACAGCUUCAUUAGCCUGGCUCUUUAUGUGGUCACAGGGAUCUGAGUGCAGGUCUUCACGAUUGUGCAGUAAGAGCUCUUGCCCACUAGUCCACACACACCCCUCUUAUUCUGAGACAGGGUUUUGCCACAGCCCAGGCUGGCUUUGAACUUACGACCCUCUCACAUCAGUCUCCCAAAUGCUGAGGUUACAGGCCAGCACCACCAAGCCUGGCUCUGUACUGUGGGUUAUGUUUUUGACUACAUGUUUUCUCAUUCCAGUUGUGCAGUCUGGUACUUUGGGUUUAAUACAAAGUUUACUUUGUUUUAAGCACUCUGCUAAGUACAGUCUGUAGAUUAGUUACAUCUAAUGUUCAUAGUGACCUUAUGGGGCCGAUGCCAUAAUGUAUCCUUCCUAUUUUGUUGAGGGGGACAGAAACAACAACAAACUAACUCUCUUAAGAUCUAGUAGAAGAUGAAACUUUGUAGCUUUUCCUCCAUAAGGUGGAGCAGCUAACAGCAGCUGCUUCUUAAGAGUGCCACUAGGAGAAAGUGAGCUAAGUGCGGGAAGCCCUGGGAAAGGGGCCUGGCUCCUGAGCACUUACUGAAAUGAGGUAGGUAAAUACACGAAUGGAAAGCUUCAGGGUUGCAUUCAAUAUAGCCGGGUACUUUGAUUUCUGAGACUAAAGCCUUGUUUUCCAGUUCUCUCCUGUUUGCUGUUCUGCUCGCUCCCUUCUGAUAUCUUUACAGAUGGGGAGACCGACCUCCAGAAGUCAUGGUCCAGCCAGAGCCGCACAGUCGUUCCUCAUCUUGAGAAUGCCAGGGUGACACUUCCUGAAUCCGACAGGUCACUCUACCUGCAUUAACUAGUAUAGUUGCAUGUCAUCUUAGGGAUAGGGAAUACUCCUCAUCUGUUACUUAGGUGAAGAUGAUUGGUGUAGGGUGGCCUGAUGGUGCUGUCUAUGCUCCAGCUGAGCCCUCUUGGGUCUGGGACCAACCGGCUCUGCCCAUGAUGCCCAGAGUAGGAACUGGUAUGCUAAUUUAGAAAACUACUUUAAAAAAAGAAACCCAGAUUCUGAACGCAAACAUACUCUUACAGAGGAACCUGUGCCAAGUUUGCCCCAUCUGUUUUGCAGGGGUCUAUGACUAAACCUUCUGAUGGACCCCAGAUCUCAGUAUCUGUCUUGGCUCCAUUUCAAUAGGUACAUCAAAUAGCCAGUCUGACCUGCUGCUAGGGAGACCAGUUGUCUAGUCCAUCUGGGGCCAAUCAUUCAAAAGUCCUGUGUUAACAGGAAACGCCUCAACCCUACAUUCUUCACAGAGAUGCUUUGGUGCUCACUGCGCAGCACAUUUUGCAUUUUCCUAGGGGUUUCCAGAGAAAGCAUGUCUUUCCUCCAAAUGGUCCCCCAUAUCAUUUUAAUUUUGGAAUCAUCUACAACACAUCUCCAAUCACAGGAGCAUAGAGAGCAGAACGAAAGAUACUCUCUGUCCUGGAGUGGGGCAGAUCUCUGAGGUUCACUCUCUAGUCAUGCAGAGUUGAGCGACUAGCCAGUUCUCCUCGCUCCCAUGUGGCCCACUGCACUAUCAGUGCCCCUUCACAUCUUCAUUCUCCCCAGGCACCUUUGAAGGUCUUCUUUCUACAGUAUCAUACAGAAUAAAAAGAACUGGGUUUGGCCGUGGUGGGUGACGGGGGAACAGCUUGUAUAGAGGAAAGAGUGAGGACUUUGCUGGGAGAAAGAUCUGCCGUUGAGUCUCGUCUCUCAUGGGUCAUUUUUUGGACCGUGGGUGAGUUUGUUGGCAAGAUGAUAAUACUAUGAAAAAUCAGCAGUGCUUCGUGGGACUCGACUUGCAUGGAGAGGGUGCAGUCAGCAUGCAAUGGAGGACACGAGAGGCCCAGUUCUAGACUGGGCACCUGAGCUCAGUGGGGUUGCUAUGUCUGUCUGUCCAGGGAGAUGCUGCUGAGUGACUGCUCCAUGCCUAAGGUGGCCACAAUCUGCUCUUCUUUCAAUGUCACUUCCCCAGGCAAGCUUUACCUUAGACUCAUGGGACCCCGCACUCUUUAUGUUUCUUUUUACAAAAUGAAUUUAUAUUUGUCGAUUGUUUAUGUUCAGUCUUCCCUACUUGAUGACAAACUUUCUAAAGGCAAGGCCAUGUCUAUCUUGUUCACUGCUGUAGCUUCAGUAACAAAAACAGGGACUGGUACCCCUCAGGUAUUUACAAAUGUCUGUUGAACAACACUAAUCAAAUGACCACCCAUGGGUACAUGGAGAAGAUGGUGUGCGCCUCAGACGUAGUCAGCCACUAGGUGGCGCGAAUGCUUCUUUCACAAGCUAUCCCGCAGGCUCAGAUGUAGUCUGCCACUAGAUGGCGCGAUGAUUCUCACGCGCGCUAUCCCGCAGGCUUUUUCAGACCGGAGGCAAAGGUUCAAUUUUCAAUUCUGCUUGGAAGGGAUUCUGCUGAGUUUAUAACAUCUGUCUUCACUGAGCGCCAUGCUAGGCAAUUUACAAUGUGUACUGUAGCUCUCACAGCUGCCACGGGAGAAGUUUGCCCGCUUUACAAGGGAGGAAAGUCAUUUCAAGCAACUUGAAGUAACUUUUCUUAAAAUACACAACCCACAGCAGGAAAAUAACACUCCGGACCUGAAUCUGUUGUCUUCUAUAUCUGAGUUCUUUCUAGCAUAUUCUAGUGCUUCUAUUACAGUGUCUCAUAAGCCAGUAAUAUACUUCCUUCUAUUAAAAAAUAUUCUCACAAGAGAUUGGUGUUUUAUCAGAGACCCAGUUAGAAGUCUCUGCACGGCCCUUGGUUUCUAAAGUCAACUUAGAGAAGAGGGGAGUCAAGUCAGAAUAGACUCAGUAUUUCUUGGGCAAGACCUUUCGUUCUUGAGCUUGUGAGUGACCUAAGCAUAGUUGGUGAAAGGAGAAUAUAACCCUCUGUAUUAACCAAUCAUGAGUAGCUACUAACUUCAUUCAUGAACAUCUAGCUACUAAGUUCAUUCAUUCAGCAACUAAGGUGACAACUGGUCUGGCAGACAUGAAGAUACACUAAAGAGAUACUGUGUCUCUCAAUCUGUCAGACAUCUGAAACAAGGGAUCCCAAAGAAAUGGGAACUUGCCUAGGAAUCUCAUGGUGGGAGAAGGAAGGGCAGCUACCAAAAGGGGAACUUUUCUCCUGGAAAGAGACACAGUGCGGGAUGAAACUAAUGAUGGACCAGUGGUGGACAGGACCACAUCCUGACUGAGACUGCUUAGAUGUGCACAUCCUUGGCCUCUAUUUACAUUUUGACCUUAUGUCAUGCCCCCAGAGACAGACUCGAAGGGUUUGAUGGAUCUCUUUGUUCCUCUUCCCAAUGUGGCCACAUGGAAUCUCUCCCUUUUUUCUGCUUUCCACUUAAUAAUUUAGCUGUUUUAAUUGCUCAUUGAGGACCUGACUCGGGCCACAAGGCAUAACGCCCAAAUUCUAUAACGAGUCCACGCACGGAGCUGAGCAAACAGAUGGGUUUACAAUGUGGUCAGUGAUAAUGAAAUGUGUGCAGGAAAGACAUAUAUAUACACACAAUGGUACCUCAGUGCCAGGCAGAUGCUACACACCACAAGAGCACCAUGAAUCUAGAAGGCAGAAAGAGUCCUGUGAAAGUCAGAGGUGACCAGAAAACACAUCAGGAAGACAGCAAGGAAAUUAUGCCGUUUUUACUCAAGGUGCAAACCAAAGAUCAGAGGCACUGACCCCAGCUGAGAACAUGGGGGCAAUGUGGGGUGCUACCCAGACCUCCUGAACAAGAAUCUGCAUCUUAACAAGCUCUCGGAGUGACCCUCACAUGUUUAAAGACUCCCGAGGACCAUAGUAUACUAAAAUAUUGUAGUAAUUUAAUUUUUAACUUUAAGUUUGGACUUUUGUCUUGCUCAUGAAGGAGUUGUACUCGAUAGAUACUCAGGGCUCCUGCUCUUCUUCACAAGGAACCUCACAGACGCUUCUAAUGGCUCCAUUUUCUAUAGGCUGAUAAAUUAUUAACUAGAAGCAAGUUCUUACCCAGGAGCAUUUUUUUGUAUAUGUCUAUUUGAAAAAGUUUCAUGAAACUAGGUAGGCUUUGAAAAAAAAAUCGAAAGGAUUAACUUUUUAAUCACUAAAGAGACUAUAACGUAUUCAUUUCAAUAGUGGCUUAUUGUAAUUCUUUGGAGAUCAGUAAUUUAUACAUGUCACAUACAUCAGGACUCCUCCGGCCACUCCCCAACUCCUAUGCUGUCCUUAUUCGCCAUUCUGAAUUCAUGAGAGUUGAUACACGGAGUCCACGUGUGCUGUGCUGGAGAGAAUCUUCUAAGAAGCAAGCACACUCGAUGGACCUGACUCGAUGGACCUGACUUAACACCUUAGUGGAGGUGAACACUGUCCUAUGUCCUUACCUGUGGCUCCUGCCUGCUUGUCUACUCAUGAACGUUGUGUAAGCCCAUUUUGGAAAGGCAGUGUGGUGUAAAAUUUAAAGACACUAAAAAAUUCUAAACAGAGGAACAUGGUCCCCGAGUAGACAGGUCCCUGUACAGCAUCACUCCCCGCGAUUCAGAUUCCUGUGUCUAUCUAGGUGUCUUUAGAUGGUUGCUAAGGACCCUUCCCUGGUCUAGUAUUACAUGUACCCUAGUUACCUAGGAGUAGGAGCAUGGAAUGUCAUUCAUUAAACCCAGAAUAUAUAUUCCCAAAUAGAAAUGGCCCACGCUAUCCUCACUCCCAGAUAUAAAAGUUGAGAAUGUUGGUUACCAUAGCAACUCACCUUCGUGGAGUCAUUUAGAAAUCCAAUUCUGUAAAGUGACAAUAUUAUGUACCAGCACCUGCAAGGCUCCAUAAUAUUUCCUCUACUUCCCUUCUUGCCCUGGGCUAUGGUGCCAAGGAUCGUCAUAAUCUGGCGAAGCAAUCCGAGUCCUCAAGCUGCCUUGCGGGCGGGCGGGCGCUGGAACAGAAGGUGCUGAGAGGGCGGGAGCGUCAGAAGGCCUCACUCUGGUUUACUAAUUCCACAGCCGUCCUUCACAGACUCCAGCAAAUAUUUUGUGAUGUUGCAAGGUGUUAGGAGGAGUGAAAUGCAAGCUGUGAUUCAGCCGGCAUGAAGACUUUGCAAACACGAAAGGGCGGCGUGUCGUGAGGCUGCGUCUGACUUCUUUGAGUGCACUGAGCAGAGUGCUUGACAAGUGCUUUCUGUCAGACGCUGGGAUCGCGCGUACCGGAUUUUAAACCCAAGACCUAUGUAAAAUUGUUUGGUCAAGUAGGUCUCACUUGAGUUAGCUGUGAGUUCUCUCUGUGGAGGGAGUGAACAUGUGCUCAUUUGUAUGAAUGGGUUUUCAAAUGUGCACGCAUAUUACAACGUCCAAUAUGCAUAAAUUAAAA
rnacentral:lncRNA from 1 species